rnacentral:lncRNA from 1 species
UUUUUUUAAAACUACUUGAGAGUUUUCUUUAUAAAACAUUUCUUUUCACGUUUUGUUAUUCCAAGAUUCUAACAUUACUUUCUUCUUCUUUUUUGUUUUUCUUUUACUUUUAUUUCCUUUUGUUAAUUUUUCUACUGUUCUGUCGAGAGAAUUGCAUAUUUCGUUGUUUUCGACUGAAAGGUUAACUGCGUAAGUUUUGUUAAUGUUCCUCGCGUUUGUUAUUUGUCAAAAUUGAAAUUUUUUUGCUUGUUUUGUCCAAUUUUUCUUUUUAAGGGUUCAAUUUGUUCUUUUUUUCA